rnacentral:lncRNA from 1 species
UCUGUUAUUUGUGAUGUAGGUCUUACAGACGCCAUCAUGUGCUAUAUAGUCUAUCCUUAAGAGGAUUGUUCUGCUUCUGUUAUUUGUGAUGAAGGUCUUCAGAGAUGCCAUCAUGUGUUAUAGUCCUUAAGAGGUAUAUCCUUAAGAGGUUAGCUUGAGACCUUGUUUGUCAAAAGCAUGUUUUAUGACCUUAAAGAGUAAUGAUCUCAAGGUUACCUUGAAAGGGUCACUUACAUGCAUACUUUCCAGAGGUCGCUGGUGAAAUUACGGUUUCCAAUAGAGCGGAGAGAGCAACUGUUCGGAAUGCCUAGCUGAACGAAUGCAUGCUACAGGCUGCGCGACAACCUUGUCAUGAAGGGCCAACUUCUGCGGUCGUUGCGCUGACAGCCACGAAAGAAGCCGUAUCACCGUGGCUUUCGUAUGAAGAUUUGAUAUGAGCUUCUUAACAAGAGCUUGUGCUGUGUUGGAAGGUGGCUAUGAUCACGCAUAGGGUGUGUCAUGUUAACCUCUCACGAGUUGUACGCCUUCUUGCGCAUGUGGGGAGCUUCACAGCCUACAGUGACGAAGCCAACUGUGAGUUUGUUCCAUGUAUUUGCUAUUUAAACGACGCCAAUCAUCAUUAUUAUAUUGAGCGGUUGGUUAGUUUGGAAUGCACCGCUCACGUAAGUCUUAACUUAAGGCAUAAAUGGCAUAAUACUUGCCUGAAAAUAAAUGAAAUGUAUUGAUGGGU